rnacentral:rRNA from 1 species
UACGAAGGGGGCUAGCGUUGCUCGGAAUCACUGGGCGUAAAGGGUGCGUAGGCGGGUUUUUAAGUCAGAGGUGAGAUCCUGGAGCUCAACUCCAGAACUGCCUUUGAUACUGAAGGUCUUGAGUAUGGGAGAGGUGAGUGGAACUGCGAGUGUAGAGGUGAAAUUCGUAGAUAUUCGCAAGAACACCAGUGGCGAAGGCGGCUCACUGGCCCAUAACUGACGCUGAGGCACGAAAGCGUGGGGAGCGAACCGG